rnacentral:rRNA from 1 species
GUGGGGAAUAUUGGACAAUGGGCGAAAGCCUGAUCCAGCCAUGCCGCGUGUGUGAAGAAGGUCUUCGGAUUGUAAAGCACUUUAAGUUGGGAGGAAGGGCAGUAAGUUAAUACCUUGCUGUUUUGACGUUACCGACAGAAUAAGCACCGGCUAACUUCGUGCCAGCAGCCGCGGUAAUACGAAGGGUGCAAGCGUUAAUCGGAAUUACUGGGCGUAAAGCGCGCGUAGGUGGUUUUGUAAGUUGGAGGUGAAAUCCCCGGGCUCAACCUGGGAACUGCCUCCAAAACUGCAUGACUAGAGUACGGUAGAGGGGAGUGGAAUUUCCUGUGUAGCGGUGAAAUGCGUAGAUAUAGGAAGGAACACCAGUGGCGAAGGCGACUACCUGGACUGAUACUGACACUGAGGUGCGAAAGCGUGGGGAGCAAACAGGAUUAGAUACCCCGGUAGUCC